AUUGAACGCUGGCGGCAGGCCUAACACAUGCAAGUCGAGCGGAUGAAGGGAGCUUGCUCCUGGAUUCAGCGGCGGACGGGUGAGUAAUGCCUAGGAAUCUGCCUGGUAGUGGGGGAUAACGUCCGGAAACGGGCGCUAAUACCGCAUACGUCCUGAGGGAGAAAGUGGGGGUUCUUCGGACCUCAGCCUAUCGGUUAAGCCUAGGUCGGAUUAGCUAGUUGGUGGGGUAAAGGCCUACCAAGGCGACGAUCCGUAACUGGUCUGAGAGGAUGAUCAGUCACACUGGAACUGAGACACGGUCCAGACUCCUACGGGAGGCAGCAGUGGGGAAUAUUGGACAAUGGGCGAAAGCCUGAUCCAGCCAUGCCGCGUGUGUGAAGAAGGUCUUCGGAUUGUAAAGCACUUUAAGUUGGGAGGAAGGGCAGUAAGUUAAUACCUUGCUGUUUUGACGUUACCAACAGAAUAAGCACCGGCUAACUUCGUG
rnacentral:rRNA from 1 species